UUUUAAUGAAUUGAUUCUAUUUUCAAAAUAAUUAUUAACACUUAAUAGUUUCCAAAAUUUAAAAAAAGGUGAGGAUAAUAGAGUAUUUACGUUUGACAACUAGCAGAUGAUAAUAAACUUUUUCUCCUUAUCCCCACUAGACAACUGGCAUUCCAAUCUAUCUCUCAACGGUUACAUAGAAAAUAAAAAAAAAAGAUUCGUCUCUCUCUUCCCUCACUGACUCUCCAUUAAACACGUUCCACACCCAUCACCUACACUAUCUACCACCCAUCACUCAACUAACAAUCACUUCUCUCUUCAACCUCUGAACGAAAAGAAAAAAGAAAAAUAAAAAAGAAGAAAAAACUUU
rnacentral:lncRNA from 1 species